ensembl:lncRNA
UUUGUUUUUUUUUUUUUUUAAUGGAAUCAUUGCUGGCCUACUAUGCUGGGCCAUGAGGAUGGCAGCCACUUCCCAGUGAUGGAGCAGCGAAAGUCUAGAAGAAUCCUGACUCCCAGAUAAAUGAGGAGACUCCAGAGAGUCGUCUUAAUUAUCCAUUUAUGGACAAAGAAAAAAAUGAGAAAAAUAUCAAGCAACUCCUCUCCCUGCUUCAGAAAUGACCAACAGAACUCCACCUAACCACAGACCAGGUGUUUCCGGCUCACAUUCUUCUGCCUGACAGACCCCAGCAUGGGAGCUCUGUUCUCAACUUCUACAGUGUCUUUCUGGUCACAACCAGAAUCUAGUGACUGAAAUCAGAAGAAUUUCACCUACUCCUAAGUGUGGGCAAGACCAGAAAAAAUGUAUAUCAAUCAUCAAGAGUCAAAAACUCGGCUUCAACAAUAUGUCGCGGAAAGUACUCCUGGCUGCUAUCAAGAGUAAGAAAUACCGUCCUGAGACAGAUGUCUGUUUCCUCUGCCAGGCUGGUGUGGAAGCCGACCCGUGUUUCCUCCCCCUUCCGAAUGCUGGGGAAGCAGCAAGGAGGUAUCAAGCAUUCUGCCUAAAACAUGUUUUCUCACCCCAGUGCUCUUGCCACUUCCAACGUCUUUAAAAAUAACAGCAAAAUGGCUCUGAAGUAGAUGGCAUUCAUGUGAGGGCAUUAAUACCAGUGGGGCCACACUUGACCAAUGGAGGAAGAAAAACGGUGGAUAAAUGCUUCCUACUUUCCUCAGUGCCUUCAGCUCCACAACCCUGAAGUGCAUUUCUCACAGGGUUAUUUCUAGCUAUUCUGAGUCAUGGAAGAGGG